GCCGGGUCGGGGGCCGGGUGCCCGAUGCCCUGGAACGGCAUGUGGCCGAGAUGAACAUGCGGGUGCACCACGGUCUGACCCUGCGGCUCGGUG
rnacentral:tRNA from 1 species